AGUGGCUCCCUGACGAUGGCAAACUUACAGUAUCUCAAGAUUGGUUUACGGACUUUCAAAGGCCUACAUGAUCAGGGCCCAGGUCAACAGCGUCCCUCGCGGUGUUGUGUAGCGGUCACUUAUCUAAUGAUGUUUGAUAGCAUAUAGGACAGUUUUUUCUCAACCUUCCACAGUGAACACUUAUGCUGCGACAUAUGGCGCUUAGGAUCUGGGACGGAGUCUUCUUUUUGAGGCUCUGGAAUUUCCUCCUCUCAAUCCACAACUUCCUUUCCAAGAUGAAGAAAACAUUCAAGUCUCUACAACUAGACCUGUCCCUCGGGUCUAGAACCAUUUUCUAAGCAGCGGUGACACUAUCUAGGUAAAGGAAGCAGCUGGACACGCAAUUUGUGGGAUGAUACUAUGUU